rnacentral:lncRNA from 1 species
CCUGAAUAUUCAAACCAAAAUAAAAAUAUAAAAGUGGAAGCCCUCACAUUUUCUGGUUUCAAUGCUUAUCACUGGGCUAUGGUUCUAAUUACAGACAUAUGGACAGAUGUAAUUUAAUUAAGAAUCCAGAAAUAAACCCAUAUAUCUCUACCCAAUGGAUUUUUGACAAGGGUGUCAAUUAUUAAUUCAACUCUCAAUGGAUUAAUCCACUGAUGAGUUUAGAGCCCUCCUGAUCCAGUCAAUUCUUCAGUAAAAAUAUUCCUUUCAACUACUGAUUCUGACGCAAGGAAUAAAGACAGUGAUUACCUCACAUUAUACAAAAAUUUCCUCCAAAUGGGUUAGUGACCUAUCUAUAAGGGCCAAAAGUAUAAAACCCUUAAAUGAAAACAUGAGGGUAAAUUGUCAUGAUGUUGAAUUUGGCAAUUGAUUCUUUUUAAUAAGACACAAAAGUAUAAAAGAAAAAUUAAACAAAUCCGAUGACAUAAAAAUUUUAAACUUUUCCCCAUCAAAUAACAUUAUCAAGAAAAUAAAAAGGAAUAUAUACAAUGGGGAAAAUAUUUGUAAACUCUAUAUCUUAUAAAGAUUUAUUAUUCAGGAUACAUAAAGAGAUAUUAUAACUCAAUGCAAAAUGACACACAACUCAAAUUAAAAAUGGGCAAGUGAUUUGAAUAGUCUUCUCUGGAGAAGAUACAGAAAUGGCCAAUGUGCUUACAGUGUUGAACACAUGAUAAGAUGGUCAACAGCCUUAGUCAUCAAGGAAAUGCAAACCCAAACCAUGAUAAGAUACUACUUCACAUCGUCUAGUAUGGCUAUCAAAAAAGAAACAGGAAAAUAACUAAUAAUAAAAAUGUGAAGAAUUUUGAAUUCUUGUACAUUGCUGAUUGGAAUAUAAAAUAGUACAGCCACUAUGGAAAACAGUUUGUGAUACCUCAGAAAGGUAAACAUAUGAUCCAGCAAACUCACUUCUGGUUACAUUUCCCAAAGAAUUGAAAAUAGGUACUCAAAUAAAUAUUUGGUCAUGAAUAUUCAUGGUAUCACUGUUUGCAAUAGCUAAAAAGUGCACACAACCCUAAUGUCAUUCAGUGAAUGAAUAGACAAAUAUGGUAUAAGACAUAGAAUAGAAAGUUACACAGCUUAGAACAGAAUGAAGUAUUGAUGCAGACUUCAAAGUAGAUACACAUUGAAAACUAACCCAUAGUGCUAUGUGAAAAAAGAACAAAAAAUUUCACAUAUUAUGUGGCACUACUUAUUUUUAAAUAAAUAGCAUAAAUAAACAUGUGAAAUUAUAAAGUAGAUUUUUAUUUGCAAGAGGCUAGGACAAAGGGGAGAUGAAGGAAUGAUCACUUAAUGACUAUGGGGUUCUCUUUAGGGGUAAUGAAAAUGUCUUAGAACUAUAUAGAACUAGGUGGUUGUUAUGCAACACUGUGAAUGUAUUAAAUGUACUGAAUUACACACUUUCUUUGUUUCCUUGGUAAUGAGAUGUAACUACUUAAUAUAAACUUAAUAUCUUUUUUUUUUUCAUUCUGGGAAUCAAUCCCAGGGCUUUGAGCAUGUUAGGUGAGUGCUCUACUACUGAGUUCCAUCCAUAGCCCUUACAUUAUACACUUUAAAAUGAAUUAUUUAAAAACUGAUGAAUGAUUUUGUAACUGAGACAAAAAUGCCUGAUAAAUAUCUCAAAGGGGGAAAGAUUUAUUUUGGUGCAUGGUUUUGUAAGUUUCAGUUUAUGGUUGACUUACUCCAUUGCUUUGGGCUUGAGGGAAGGCAAGACAUCAUGGCAGAAUGGCAUGGCAAAGGAAAGCUGUUCAGGUCAUGUCAGCAGGGAACAGAAUGCAAGAAAGAGGGUGAGUGAAGGUGAGAGGGAAGAAAGGGUUGGGGACAAGAAAUACCUUUCUAGGACAUGUCCCCAGUGAUGCACUUCUUCCAACCAUAUCUCACCACCUACAGUUUCCACAGUAUUCCACUGAUUCAGCUAUCAAUGGAUUAAGCCAUGAUGAGUUUAAUUAGUGCCCUACCUCUGAACAUUGUUGCAUUGGGGGUCAAACUUUCAACACAAAAGACUUUAGGGAAUAUUUUAGACCCAACCCUAACUAUAACAUGAUCAACUACCUACUAUUGCAAAAAAAAAAAAAUUCUUUAGAAUACAAGAAGAACAGAAGUACACAAGAUCUUAAUGUCUGAGGCAAAGCACAGGGAAGGAACAAACUAUAGAAGAACUCACUUCUAGGGUUGAGACCCAGAUCUUGUUGGAGAGGGUAUGGCAGUGGCCCAUAGGAUCGUGGAGACAUUUUCUAUAGUACUACACUGGAGUUCGCUGAUGAUCUUCUACAAAGGUGAUGCAUUGGGAAGCUUCCCACCAGGAUUGUGUGCUAGGAAGCUGCCUUCUGAGAGAAGCUGCCCAUGAAGAAGUCUGUUGGCAGCUGCACACAGCAGGAGUUUACCAAAAGAAGACAAGAAGAUGGGUAUUUCUUUCUUUUCGGUCAUCCAAGAACUCUACAUUACAAACUUAGCAUCAUGCCAGCUGGCAAAGAAAUAUUUACAAGGCCUGCCUCCAUUAUUGCAUAGCAGGAAGUAAAAGAAGAUUUUAAGCUGAAAGACAAUAAAUUGAUAAUUGGCACAAAAUUAUUCUCAUAAAGUGAUUUGAGAUAAAAUAGGUUACAUAAAAGUUUCUAACUGUGAUAAUAG